GAUAGAUUAUCGAUUGUGCCAACUGCCAAAAUAUGGGCGUCACCAUACUUAGGUCCUUCUUUAACCAGACAAAAGAAUAAAGCCUAGGUGUUCAACUUCAGAGUCCUAAUUUGUCAGCUUAAGAAAGCUAAGCUCGACCUAACGGCGUGGUCAUAGUGACGUACUAGCUAGCUUAUAGACAUAAAUUAAAAUAAUUUAUGGAUUUGUCACCAAAAAGUAGAGACACGAGAUGUCAUAUUUAAAACAAAUCCUGGCUAAAUUCAAUUUACUGUUAUUUGCAGAACAAGCUCCAAAAUUAGAAGCUCAGACUCAUAAAAGCAGAUAAUUUUCUCUGUAAUUGAUCGGCCCAAUUAAAUGGUUAUUCUAGUACGUUGUUAUUGCUCGGAAAACAAGUUCGAAUGAUAUUCGACUUCCAAAUUUGGCAUUUGAAAGAUUAAUGGCUGCAGUUUGUGUACUAGAAAGGAUCAUCGAUAAACAAUGUAACAUAUAUCAGCUUGCAUCGAAGAUAACGAAAAUGGAGAGAGAACUAAAAGAAAAAACAAAUUAUUUUUUCUCUAUUUUUCUAACCUAUAUUUGCAGCUUGGAUUUUAUUGUGGAAAUCUUUGAAGCUUGUCAACCUUUAUUUUUUGUAAAGGUAACUUGAAGCCUAUAGAAAUUGUUCAAGCAGCCAUUAACAGCUUUUGUGCUAAGAGGGCUCUAAGCCAACAAAACUAAAUCUCAGGUCUUCUUUGGAGAGAUUAAAGAGGAUUGCUAUAACAAAGUGCGAGAGUGGACAUGGUCACUAUCUGUAUAGGUGCGGAUCAGAUAGAAUUACUUGUCCGCAAGGGAUACAUCUCUGUCAUGUUCUUAUAUAUGGCUCAAUUCUCUACCAUUUAUUUCAUGUGGGACAAUGUCCACAGUACUUACAAAGUGGAGAGCUAUGGUGGAAUCAUAAAUAAGAUCCAAAAGAAGCUCGACAAUUGGGCUAGUAGGUCGAGCUCAACUUAUCCAAUUCUUCGGGAUUAGAAAUUAUUGAAUGAGUAUUUUUAUUAUUCCUCAUAAAGUAAUUGCAGCUAUUCAUAAGCUUUGUACACCCCAGAGGAAAUUGAAGUAAACUUCACCAUACUUCUUAGGAACAAGUUUGUUUACCAAAAAAAGUAUGUUGGUAUUGGUUUUAGGGAAGGAAAAAUAAAUGGAACAUUGCUCUAAUAGCCGAGUUCAUUUGGGCCAUCUCUAGAAAGCAAGAUUUUCUUUAGGCUCGUUGGAUUCAAGCCAUUUAUUUAAAGAACAAGGAGUUUGGAAACUUUGUCCGAAAAGGUGAGCUAAGCUGGUAUUUUAGGAAGCUAACAAAGCUUCAAAAUAUCAUAAGUUUAUCAAGCUGCGUUGAUGGAGGUUGUGAAGAAUGAGAGGUUUAAGAUUUGGAGGCUUGGAAGGUUUUGGUGUGAGCUGCCUCAGACAGGGGUGGUGGGCAUGGUUAUGAAGGCGAUUAUUGUAGCUGCUAUGUUAUGUAUUUCAUUUGGUGUAAUAAGAAUUGUUGUAUUUCUCAUUUAGCUUGUAGCUUGGUCAAAGUUCUAAGGAACCAUGUUAAGUUAGCUAUUAAAUCUAGAGUUAAGAGUGUUUUCAUUUCUCAGCUUAGUAAGAGGGGAAGGGAUGUAUUAGGAGCAAUUAACUCUUUGUAAGAGUCUAGAUUUAACUAAAGACUCAGUAUUCAGGUAGAGUAUUAUUUCUUUAUUUUUUAAUUUUUAGCUAGAUUGAAAAAUUUGACAGGAAAAUGAUAGAGAUAUUCAGCUCAUAAUUUCGAAAAGAUUAGUAAGAUGCAAAAGAAAAGAUUAAGGGGAACUUAAUUUGUUGAUGUUUAAAUGGUUGAUACUGUGUAAUGAGCAAAAGUAUGGCUGAUGGAAGUUGAUGCAGGAGAAUUUAUCUUUUUUUAGCUGUUUUA